AGUGAACGCUGGCGGUAGGCCUAACACAUGCAAGUCGAACGGCAGCACAGUAAGAGCUUGCUCUUACGGGUGGCGAGUGGCGGACGGGUGAGGAAUACAUCGGAAUCUACUUUUUCGUGGGGGAUAACGUAGGGAAACGUACGCUAAUACCGCAUACGACCUACGGGUGAAAGCAGGGGAUCUUCGGACCUUGCGCGAUUGAAUGAGCCGAUGUCGGAUUAGCUAGUUGGCGGGGUAAAGGCCCACCAAGGCGACGAUCCGUAGCUGGUCUGAGAGGAUGAUCAGCCACACUGGAACAGAGACACGGUCCAGACUCCUACGGGAGGCAGCAGUGUGGAAUAUUGGACAAUGGGCGCAAGCCUGAUCCAGCCAUACCGCGUGGGUGAAGAAGGCCUUCGGGUUGUAAAGCCCUUUUGUUGGGAAAGAAAAGCAGCAGGUUAAUACCCCGCUGUUCUGACGGUACCCAAAGAAUAAGCACCGGCUAACUUCGUG
rnacentral:rRNA from 1 species